GCAAGACAAGCCGUUUAUCAUUGAAAUAGGUGUCCAGUAUAAGUGCAGUGAUGUAUGCAGCUGAAGCAUCCUAACAGACCGGUAGACUUGAACUUAACUUUGUUGCAUAACAUAAAUUUG
rnacentral:rRNA from 1 species